rnacentral:misc_RNA from 1 species
AAGUCGUAACAAGGUUUCCGUAGGUGAACCUGCGGAAGGAUCAUUAUCAACGUUAUCCACGUACUAACCAUUACCAAAAAAAUGUGAACUGUCUCGGAUCCUCUGAGAGAAAGCGGUUGGGAAGUGCGAUUUUCCUGCCAUUUGAUGUGUUUGGAAAAACGCUGUCUUUUCUCAGAGUGUAUUUCUUUUUUCUAACUACACUUCCUACAACUAUUUUUUUUUAACCAAUUGAACCAAAACAUACAAUUACUUCUUUUCUGUGAACUGAAUUGUCAUUCCUUUUUCUGCCUUUUGCUUCGCUUUAUUGUCGAAUGCAAAAGGAAUGAAGAGGAUGAUUCAAUUUACGAAACAAAUAAGAACAACUCUUAGCAACGGAUAUCUUGGUUCUC